rnacentral:rRNA from 1 species
UGGUCCUACGGGAGGCAGCAGUAGGGAAUAUUGCUCAAUGGGGGAAACCCUGAAGCAGCGACGCCGCGUGGAGGAUGAAGGUUUUAGGAUUGUAAACUCCUUUUGUUAGAGAUGAUUAUGACGGUAUCUAACGAAUAAGCACCGGCUAACUCCGUGCCAGCAGCCGCGGUAAUACGGAGGGUGCAAGCGUUACUCGGAAUCACUGGGCGUAAAGAGCGCGUAGGCGGGAUAGCAAGUCAGAUGUGAAAUCCUAUGGCUUAACCAUAGAACUGCAUUUGAAACUGUUAUUCUAGAGUAUGGGUGAG